GACGAACCGUGCGAACGUUAUUCGGAAUCACUGGGCUUAAAGCGCGUGUAGGCGGAUGGGUGCGUCGGCUUCUGAAAGCCCCCGGCUCAACCGGGGAAGUGGGGCCCGAAACGACCCGUCUGGAGGGACGUAGGGGGAUCUGGAACUUCCGGUGGAGGCGGUGAAAUGCGUUGAGAUCGGAAGGAACGCCCGUGGCGAAAGCGAGAUCCUGGACGUCUUCUGACGCUGAGACGCGAAAGCUAGGGGAGCAAACGGG
rnacentral:rRNA from 1 species